CCUGGGUGAGUCGGGUCCUAAGGCGAGGCCGACAGGCGUAGUCGAUGGGUAACCAGUUGAUAUUCUGGUACCGGCUUGUCACCGUCCGUGUCGAGGUGUGUGAUGCUAAGCAUGUGAGCUUGUCUUGGGAGUGUUUUUGAUGCUUCUGGGGUGGGUGAGUGUGUGAACCGAUCAUGUAGUAGGCAAGCUGCGGAGGGACGCAGUGAGGUAGCUCAUCCCCGGUGAUGGUUGUCCGGGGCUAAGUGUGUGGACUGUCUGGUAGGUAAAUCCGCUGGGCGUGAAGGUUGAGGCAUGAUGGGGAGCCCACGGUUGUGGGUGAGUGAGUGAUCCUGUACUGUCGAGAAAAGCUUCGUGAGCGAGGUGGCGGGUCCGCCCGUACCCUAAACCGACACUGGUGGAUAGGUAGAGUAUACCGAGGCGAUCGAGUGAAUCGUGGUGAAGGAACUCGGCAAAAUGCCCCCGUAACUUUGGGAUAAGGGGGACCUGAGCUGUCGUGCACCCGUGCGGUGUGGUGGCGGUGAGGGGCGCAGAGUCCAGGGGGAAACGACUGUUUACCAAAAACACAGGUCCGUGCGAAGUCGUAAGACGAUGUAUACGGACUGACUCCUGCCCGGUGCUGGAAGGUUAAGGGGAACUGUGAGUGUGAUGCGUAGCGGUGAACUUAAGCCCCAGUAAACGGCGGUGGUAACUAUAACCAUCCUAAGGUAGCGAAAUUCCUUGUCGGGUAAGUUCCGACCUGCACGAAUGGAGUAACGAUUUCCCUACUGUCUCCACCAUGAACUCGGUGAAAUUGCAUUACGAGUAAAGAUGCUCGUUACGCGCAGCAGGACGGAAAGACCCCGGGACCUUUACUAUAGUUUGGUAUUGGUGAUUGGGACGGUUUGUGUAGGAUAGGUGGGAGACGUUGAUGCGGCCACGCUAGUGGUGGUGGAGUCGUUGGUGAAAUACCACUCUGAUUGUUCUGGUUAUCUCACUGUGGACCGUGAUCCGGUUCAAGGACAGUGCCUGAUGGGUAGUUUGACUGGGGCGGUCGCCUCCUAAAGGGUAACGGAGGCGCCCAAAGGUUCCCUCAUCCUGGUUGGUAAUCAGGUGGUGAGUGUAAGUGCACAAGGGGGCUUGACUGUGAGACUGACAGGUCGAGCAGGGACGAAAGUCGGGACUAGUGAUCUGACGGUGGCUUGUGGAUGCGCCGUCACUCAACGGAUAAAAGGUACCCCGGGGAUAACAGGCUGAUCUUGCCCGAGCGCUCAUAGCGACGGCAUGGUUUGGCACCUCGAUGUCGGCUCGUCGCAUCCUGGGGCUGGAGUCGGUCCCAAGGGUUGGGCUGUUCGCCCAUUAAAGCGGCACGCGAGCUGGGUUCAGAACGUCGUGAGACAGUUCGGUCCCUAUCCGCUGCGCGCGGAGGAAUCUUGAGAAGGGCUGUCUUUAGUACGAGAGGACCGAGACGGACUGACCUCUGGUGUGCCAGUUGUUCUGCCAAGAGCAUGGCUGGUUGGCUACGUCGGGUUGUGAUAACCGCUGAAAGCAUCUAAGCGGGAAGCACGCUUCAAGAUAAGGGUUCCCACAGGUGAUCCUGGUAAGGUCCCCGAGAGAUGAUCGGGUUGAUAGGCCAGACGUGGACGCAUCGUAAGGUGUGGAGCUGACUGGUACUAAUAGACCGAGGACUUUCAUUAACA
rnacentral:rRNA from 1 species